GUAAUUCAAGGAGCUGAGUGAAUCACUGACGUUUGUUGAAUGAGGGUGAACACACCAGAGAAUGAAACGAAGGAUAUCCGACAUGAGUGGAUUAUUAGAGUUUUUGAAGUUUUGGAGAUUCAGUGCAGAGCAGUAAAGGUCAAGGACCCUGGAAAGACCCUUUCCCCAGGUGUGUCAAGACGAAGUAUCAGAUUAGACGUGUUGCUUGAGAGUUAAGGUUUCUAAUCAUGUGUAGUGGGAUGCAAGCGUUUUGGCAGAUUAUGUUUCUUCGUAUGGAAUGACCAUCAAACAGAGUAGAGAGAUUAUCUAAAGAGGAAUGUGAGUAACGUUCUUCCCUUUGAUUGGAUAGAUAUGAAGAGUUGGUUUUCAUGGUGAACGGAAGGAAUUCGAGGAAGAAUUCUAUUUAAGGGGGGGAGAAUGUAAUACCCCGACUCUCCAACACCGGUAAUUAUCAUUAAAUUGGUUAAUUGAUAAUUAAAAUGCACUUUGGUCUUAGUCCAUAUCAUUUAAGCACAAUUGUAUUAGAAGUCUUAAGAGAAAGCAAUGGAAUUGGUUGGAAUUGAACUAAGUGGCAUUUAUGUAAAUACCACUUAGUUAAAGGGCACAUUGGACCUUAAAUGAUAUUUUCAUGGACUUAAAGUAUGGUUAGUAGAGAUAACCAUUCCAAAUCAGAAUUUUGGAGAAGAGAGAGCAUAGGAACAUGGAAAGAAAGAAGUUCAUCAUCUUCAUAUCUCCAUUUUCGCAACCCUUGAUACAGCUCCACUAAAUCAGCUUCUGUUUUGAAGGAGAAAAACGAGUUUGAAGUUGGGACAUGCAUGCUGAAUGUGAUGAAGAAUGGGCUACGGGUUUGAUGAGUUUGGAGUUGGAGUUUUGGUCAAGAUAGGAACUCAAUUGCAGCAUGUUCACCAUCUAAACCUCUAUUAAUCCAAGGUGCAGUUAGUAGCGUUUGGUCAGUAACAGGUUUGGACUGAAGACUUGGAAGUGGUGUUGGCUCGAAGACCUCGUUGGUUUUGACAUUCCGCUGUGCAAGAUCCAUUGAAGACUCAUGUAUUAUGCUUCUUAGUAGAAUUUCAUGUUGUAUUUUAUAUGGAUCUUUCUAUAACUAUAGCUUUUGUAUGUACUCAAUAUCAAUUUUAACGUUUCAUGCAUAAUAUAC